rnacentral:tRNA from 1 species
AAUGAAGUGCCUGAGCAAAGGAUAAUUUUGAUAGAAUUAAUCACGUGAGCAUUCACCUUCAUUA